rnacentral:lncRNA from 1 species
ACCACUGCACAAAAUACAUCAUUACCCAGAUGUUCCAACAAGGUCGUUAAGCAACUUACUGACAUGACUAUCGUAUAUAUGGUUUAAAAUUCCAUAAUAGUUCAAAAACAUUUACACCUCUUUCUAUACUUAAUGUCUUAUCAUAUAACCACAUUACUCCAAAACACAAGCCUUUCAUCUUAACCAUCUCAAAUGAUAAAGAAUCAACCUCUUAUAAUGAAGCCAUUAAACAUCAUUACUGGAAAGAGGCAAUGUUCAAUCAACUAAAAGUAUUAAAAGACAAUCAAAUAUGAGAAUUAA